UACGGAGGGUGCAAGCGUUGUCCGGAUUUACUGGGUUUAAAGGGUGCGUAGGUGGGUCUGUAAGUCAGUGGUGAAAUCUCCGGGCUUAACUCGGAAACUGCCAUUGAUACUAUAGGUCUUGAAUUAUCUGGAGGUGAGCGGAAUAUGUCAUGUAGCGGUGAAAUGCUUAGAUAUGACAUAGAACACCAAUUGCGAAGGCAGCUCACUACGGAUAUAUUGACACUGAGGCACGAAAGCGUGGGGAUCAAACAGG
rnacentral:rRNA from 1 species